rnacentral:rRNA from 1 species
UAGGGAAUCUUCCGCAAUGGGCGAAAGCCUGACGGAGCAACGCCGCGUGAGUGAUGAAGGUCUUCGGAUCGUAAAACUCUGUUAUUAGGGAAGAACAAAUGUGUAAGUAACUAUGCACGUCUGACGGUACCUAAUCAGAAAGCCACGGCUAACUACGUGCCAGCAGCCGCGGUAAUACGUAGGUGGCAAGCGUUAUCCGGAAUUAUUGGGCGUAAAGCGCGCGUAGGCGGUUUUUUAAGUCUGAUGUGAAAGCCCACGGCUCAACCGUGGAGGGUCAUUGGAAACUGGAAAACUUGAGUGCAGAAGAGGAAAGUGGAAUUCCAUGUGUAGCGGUGAAAUGCGCAGAGAUAUGGAGGAACACCAGUGGCGAAGGCGACUUUCUGGUCUGUAACUGACGCUGAUGUGCGAAAGCGUGGGGAUCAAACAGG